GUAACGGCGAGUGAAGCGGCAACAGCUUAAUCGACAAUCCUACGCCUUCUGGCGGUGGAAUUGUAGUCUUGUUGGGUGAACGGCGCCGGUGGACGGCCAAUUCGAUGGAAAUCCAGGUCCCAGAGGGUGAUAGCCCCGUGUGACUGUCCAGUCGGCGCCAUAGUUUACUCAAUCUUCGAGUAGCGUUCCUUGGGAAUGGAGCGUGAAGUGGGUGGUGAUAUCCAUCUAAAGCUAAAUAUUGGCGAGAGACCGAUAGCGAACAAGUACCGUGAGGGAAAGAUGAAAAGCACUUUGGAGAGAGAGUUAAAUAGCCUGUGAAAUCGUUGGAAGCAAGCGAAUCAGUGUGCUUGGACGCGGGUCUUCGCUCGGGAACUCGCUCGGGCGUGCGUGCAGUUCGCUGCGUGCCGCCUGGGUUGCCAGUGCCCGUGCGUGGACUGAGGUUUUGGCGUUCUUACGCGUUCUGAUCCGACCCGUCUUGAAACACGGACCAAGGAGUCUAAUAUGUGUGCGAGUACUCGGGUGCCAAACCCCUGUGCGCAGGUAACCCAAAUCGCGUUAGCCCUACGGGC
rnacentral:rRNA from 1 species